CAAAAUGGGAGGUAAAUUUCUCCUAAGGCUAAAUAUUGGCGAGAGACCGAUAGCGAACAAGUACCGUGAGGGAAAGAUGAAAAGAACUUUGAAAAGAGAGUUAUACAGUACGUGAAAUUGUUGAAAGGGAAACGAUUGAAGUCAGUCAUACCAACGGGAAAUCAACCUUUUGAGCUCGGUCUCGUGGGUUUUGAAGAGUUUCAAAGCCUUCGGAUUCGCGGAAUUGGGAUCUCUUGGCGUACUUUUUCGUACGGUUAGUCAACAUCGGUUUUGAAUGUCAUAAAAUGACUGGAGGAAUGUAGCUUCGAUCUCGUAUUGAAGUGUUAUAGCCUUUGGUAGAUGUGAUGUUUGAGACCGAGGAUUGCAACGGAUACCUUUCAGGGCUAUUCGUCUGAUCUCUGAUACGUUGCCUUGAUGUUGAAAGCUUGCUUAUGAUGUUAGGGUAUUACGGUCAAAAGGUUAGAACGAAUUACA
rnacentral:rRNA from 1 species